UUGCAUUUUCAGGUUAAUCCCAGAGCAUACAAAAUGAGUCCUUUGGUGUGCAAUGGUUGCAAACAGCAGCCUCCUUGGUAGUGUAUGCAACCUGUUACCCUGUAUGGGUUGCCCUAAGGGACCUUGGAGACAAUU